AAUUUUGUGUGGUUAUGUGCAUAUGUAUGCAUGCUUUUGAACUCUGUUUUCAAGUAAAUCGUCUUACCAAGGCACCUCAUUAGCAGCGGAACAAUUACGCCAAGCGGAAGUGAUUAACCGCAAUUGACUGCCAGACAUUCUAUAACAAUUUUCUAUAUACAUACAUAUAUAAUGCCAUGUAAAACAUACAUUGAAACAAUAAUAAAAUGUAUUUUUAAAACUGAAA